AGAUGUGUAGUAUAGUUGGUAAAAGGUUUGUUUAAUAUUUGAAAAGUCAUAGGUUCGAUCCUUCAUGUCUA